rnacentral:lncRNA from 1 species
AUACCAGGUGCCAAACUUCAUUAUCCACCCCACCACCUUGCCCGGGAGGGAGAUCUGUGAAAGCGAAACGUGAUUUAAGCUGGGAUCUGGCAGCAACUUCGUGGACUCUGAAGGGCACGUGGGAAAGGAGUUUUGAUUGAAGGUGAGGGAUUUAGUGAGGUAAAAUUAUAUCCAAAUUAGAGUUUGGUAAAGGCUUCCAGGUUAAUGUCCUGUUAACGCUUAUCCUGAUUUGUGGAGGACACUUAAGCUGUCUAGGCCUAACCUUGUGUUUGAUCACUCACCUUAAUUUGUAGACAUUCUAGGAGCUCUUUGUCAAUGCCUCUUACCAUUUUUAUCAUUAACUAUUUAUGCUUAUAGAAGCAGGAAAAAUAAAUUGUGGGAGCCUUCAUCUGCAAUAGGUUUACAACUUUUUUUCUAAAAUCUUGAGGCAAGGAGACUUAUUCCCCCGCCCCUUUUUUUCUCACAGAUUUCUUGUAUGUCUCCCUCGCCCCGCCCGCACCCCGUCCCCCCGCCCCCGGACAAUUAAUUGUAGGAGGAAACAAGAACUAAGAUGUCUAUUCGAGUGAUUUUUUAUAUCUUUCUUAAGGAGAAAAAGACUGACAUUUGACACUGUGCUCUUGUUUUGUCUUGCUGAUAAUAACUGACAGCAAUGUUUACUUUUCUUACAAAUGAAACUAUCAGGGUACGUACUUUUAAGCUCUUUAAUACAAUGGGUUUCAUCCUUCCAGUGGGAGAGUAUGAAUUGCCCACUCUGCGUAGACACAUGACUGCUGGCCUGUUGGACACAUGGUCACACUUGCUAUACUCUAAAUAGUGUCUUUGUGACCUGAAACAGUCAACACUUUUCUUAAAGCUACAGUGUGCCCACACUCAUUGUAUUUUUGCUUUGUAUGGAAUUUCAAAUUUACUUAUUACCUUCUCUAUGAAUAAUAGCAUAACUUAUGCAUUCCAUUUAUGCCUUUCAGGGAACCUGAUGGUUAAUUUCUACCUCUUAAAGUAACACAUUAUGUUGUAAGAUUUUGCUCUUAAUAUAGCAGUCCCCCUUAUCCUUGGUUUCACUUUCCAAGAUUUUGUCAACCAUGGCCCAAAAAUGUUACAUCACUACUCUUGCAUUUGGGGGGUAUUAUUACAUAAAAUGAUAGUUAUAUGAACACAAGCACUGUCACACUGCAACAGUCUGACAACCCAGACAGCAACUGGCUAAUGGCAAUCUGGGCAGGGACAGAGCAGACUGUGCUCCUCAGAAUGGUGCACAAUUUAAAACUUAUGAAUCGUUUAUUUCUGGAAUUUGCUAUUUAUGUCACAAUACUUAUGUCAUUCACCUCACUUCAUCUCAUCAUGUAGGUAUUUUAUCAUCUCACAUCACAAGAAGGAGAAGGGUGAGUUCAGUACACUAAGAUGCUUUGAGAGGGAGACCAUACAUAACUUUUAUUACAGUACACUCUUAAAAUUGUUUUAUUUUAUUAUUAUUAUUUUUUGAGACAGAGCUUCUUGUCUCCCAACCAGGACUAUAAUGGCACAAUCUCAGUUCACUGCAACCUCCGCCUCCAGGUUUCAAGUGAUUCUUCUGCCUCAGCCUCCCGAGUAGCUGGGAUUACAGGUGCCCGCCACCACGCCUGGCUAAUUUUUGUAUUUUUAGUAGAGGUAGGGUUUUGCUGUGUUGGCCAGGCUGGUCUCGAACUCCUGACCCCAGGUGAUCUGCCCACCUCGGCCUCCCAAAGUGCUGGGAUUACAGGCAUGAGCCAUGGCGCCCAGCCUGUUCUAUUUUAUUAUUAUUGUUGUUAAUAUCUUACUGUGCCUAAUUUAUAAGUGAAACUUUAUCAUAGGUAUGUAUGUAUAGGAAAAAACAUAGUGCAUUUAGAGUUCAAUACUAAGGUUUCAGGCAUCCACUGAGUGUCUUGGAACACAUCCACC